rnacentral:hammerhead_ribozyme from 1 species
AUCCAGCUGACGAGUCUCAAAUGGGACGAAACAUACGUCCUGGAU